UACAGAGGUCUCAAGCGUUGUUCGGAUUCAUUGGGCGUAAAGGGUGCGUAGGCGGCGCGGUAAGUCGGGUGUGAAAUCUCGGGGCUUAACUCCGAAACUGCAUUCGAUACUGCCGUGCUUGAGGACUGGAGAGGAGACUGGAAUUUACGGUGUAGCGGUGAAAUGCGUAGAUAUCGUAAGGAAGACCAGUGGCGAAGGCGGGUCUCUGGACAGUUCCUGACGCUGAGGCACGAAGGCUAGGGGAGCAAACGGG
rnacentral:rRNA from 1 species